rnacentral:rRNA from 1 species
CAGGUAGGACUACCCGCUGAACUUAAGCAUGGAGGG